rnacentral:misc_RNA from 1 species
GAUGAAGAACGUAGUGAAAUGCGAUACGUAAUGUGAAUUGCAGAAUUCAGUGAAUCAUCGAAUCUUUGAACGCAUAUUGCGCUCUUUGGUAUUCCGAAGAGCAUGCUUGUUUGAGUAUCAGUAAACACCUCAAAGCUUUUGGAUUUUUUAAUCGAAAAGCUUUGGACUUGAGCAAUCCCAACACCAAUCUUUUUGAGAUCGGUGGCGGGUUGCUUGAAAUGCAGGUGCAGCUGGACAUUCUCCUGAGCUAAAAGCAUAUUCAUUUAGUCCCGUCAAACGGAUUAUUACUUUUGCUGCAGCUAACAUAAAGGGAGUUUGACCGUAUUGGCUGACUGAUGCAGGAUUUCACAAGGGUCGGCAACGAUUCUUGUUAAACUCGAUCUCAAAUCAAGUAAGACUACCCGCUGAACUUAAGCAUAUCAUAAGCGGAGGA